rnacentral:misc_RNA from 1 species
AUGAUCCCAAGCCUUCUGGCGAUCUCUUAUAAAGAAAGCCCUCCAUAAUAAAUUGAAAAGGGUCCUUUGGGGAAAAGUUUUCCCUUUGCUAAGAUGAAGCCGGGGAAGGUUUUCCGGUUUAUCCCGGAGGGCUUGUAGCUCAGUUGGUUAGAGCGCGCGCUUGAUAAGCGUGAGGUCGGAGGUUCAAGUCCUCCCAGGCCCACCAAUCAUUCUAUCAAUCUAUAAGCGCUUGUGGAAAUUGCUCAUAGAAAACUUUCUUUAUUCAUUUAUGAAAAAUCUCCUUAUAGAGAGAGACGCUUUUCCCUUUGGGUUUGAAAACUCAAAAUUAAAGGUGUUAAAGUGGCUUUAAAGGAAAAGUGACAAAGGAUAAGGAAUAAUGAUUUAAGUUAUCCCUUUUUGGUGAUCUUGAUUUGGGUGUUUUGAAUGCGUUAUGUUUUUUAGGGGGGCCGUAGCUCAGCUGGGAGAGCACCUGCUUUGCAAGCAGGGGGCGGUCGGUUCA